UGCAGUCGAACGGCAGCGCGGGUAGCUUGCUACCUGGCGGCGAGUGGCGGACGGGUGAGGAAUACUUAGGAAUCUGCCGUGUGGUGGGGGAUAACCCGGGGAAACUCGGGCUAAUACCGCAUAAGCCCUACGGGGGAAAGCGGGGGACCUUCGGGCCUCGCUCCAUACGAUGAGCCUAAGCCCGAUUAGCUAGUUGGUGGGGUAAUGGCCUACCAAGGCGACGAUCGGUAGCUGGUCUGAGAGGAUGAUCAGCCACACUGGGACUGAGACACGGCCCAGACUCCUACGGGAGGCAGCAGUGGGGAAUAUUGGACAAUGGGGGAAACCCUGAUCCAGCAAUGCCGCGUGUGUGAAGAAGGCCUGCGGGUUGUAAAGCACUUUCAAUGGGAAGGAAAAGCGCCGGGCUAAUACCCCGGGGCCAUGACGUAACCCAUAGAAGAAGCACCGGCUAACUCCGUGCCAGCAGCCGCGGUAAUACGGAGGGUGCGAGCGUUAAUCGGAAUUACUGGGCGUAAAGCGCGCGUAGGCGGUUGCGUAAGUCGAUUGUGAAAGCCCCGGGCUUAACCUGGGAAUUGCAGUCGAUACUGCGCGGCUAGAGUGUGGUAGAGGGAAGUGGAAUUCCGGGUGUAGCGGUGAAAUGCGUAGAUAUCCGGAGGAACACCAGUGGCG
rnacentral:rRNA from 1 species